AUACGGAGGAUGCGAGCGUUAUCCGGAUUUAUUGGGUUUAAAGGGAGCGUAGGCGGGAGCUUAAGUCAGCGGUUAAAUGGUGCGGCUCAACCGUGCCCUGCCGUUGAAACUGGGUUUCUUGAGAGUGCAAGAGGCGGAUGGAAUUCAUGGUGUAGCGGUGAAAUGCUUAGAUAUCAUGAAGAACUCCGAUUGCGAAGGCAGUCCGCUGGGGCACGUCUGACGCUGAUGCUCGAAGGUGCGGGAAUCAAACAGGAUUGGAUACCCUGGUAGUCCGCACGGUAAACGAUGAUUACCCGCUGUCGGCGGUAGACAGUCGGCGGCCAAGCGAAAGCGAUAAGUAAUCCACCUGGGGAGUACGCCGGCAACGGUGAAACUCAAAGGAAUUGACGGGG
rnacentral:rRNA from 1 species